rnacentral:rRNA from 1 species
UACGAAGGGGGCUAGCGUUGCUCGGAAUCACUGGGCGUAAAGGGUGCGUAGGCGGGUUCUUAAGUCAGAGGUGAAAUCCUGGAGCUCAACUCCAGAACUGCCUUUGAUACUGAGGAUCUUGAGUUCGGGAGAGGUGAGUGGAACUGCGAGUGUAGAGGUGAAAUUCGUAGAUAUUCGCAAGAACACCAGUGGCGAAGGCGGCUCACUGGCCCGAUACUGACGCUGAGGCACGAAAGCGUGGGGAGCAAACAGG